GGAGAUAUAGCUCAGUGGUAGAGUAUUUGCCAUGUGUGAGGCCCUGGGUUCAAUCCCCAGUAUACACA
rnacentral:tRNA from 1 species